rnacentral:rRNA from 1 species
CCAGACUCCUACGGGAGGCAGCAGUGGGGGAUAUUGGACAAUGGGGGGAACCCUGAUCCAGCGAUGCCGCGUGAGGGAAGAAGGUUUUCGGAUUGUAAACCUCUGUGGACAGGGACGAUAAUGACGGUACCUGUCAAGAAAGCCACGGCUAACUACGUGCCAGCAGCCGCGGUAAUACGUAGGUGGCGAGCGUUGUCCGGAAUUACUGGGUGUAAAGGGCGUGUAGGCGGGAGAGCAAGUCAGACGUGAAAUUCCAGGGCUCAACCCUGGAACUGCGUUUGAAACUGUUCUUCUUGAGUGAUGGAGAGGCAGGCGGAAUUCCGUGUGUAGCGGUGAAAUGCGUAGUUAUACGGAGGAACACCAGUGGCGAAGGCGGCCUGCUGGACAUUAACUGACGCUGAGGCGCGAAAGCGUGGGGAGCAAACAGGAUUAGAUACCCUCGUA